CCCUACGGAGCAUUCAUCAUCAUCGUCACGACCACCACACACUAAGAAGCAUGUGAAUCGGCUCCCUGCCACAUGAAUCGAUCCCACGGUGCAUGAGUUAGGUAUAGGAGCUGAUCGAACGGCGCCGCACGUGGGUCCGCCUCACUCAGGCGGGUGUUCCACAGGGGCAGCCGGCGUGUAGCGUCCUCUCGGAGGAGAACAGGCUUUCACGUAUGACACACUUGUACAGUGCAGCGCAGCUGGCCCAGGCACCCAUCCGCUUCUCACUCCGGAACCCUUCCGCAAGUGGAGAGUGGAGACAGUGAGUCCGCAUCAUCAUGUCGACAAGGAGACGCUGCAGCUCCACUUCGCAGGCAUGACGUCACGGCUGAAGAACGCUCAGACCAAUCCUCAUGGCUCUGGAGCCAGUGAAGCAGGCAUCACUCGAGAUGGGGGAUGUGCGCGGUGGGAUCGCGCGGCGCCGUAGGCCACAAUGAACACCAUCGGCGACCGGGCCGCCCAGUUCUACAUUUUGGGGAGGGGGAAGAGAUGUGGAGCCCAGCGGGCACCGGCAAACGGUAGGCCGGGGAGAUGUCCUCUGCCAUGUGGUACACGAACUGCCAUCGGCAGGCCGUGCUGAAUCAGCGACUUGCGGGGCUGGGUGGCUGGAUGCAGAUGGCUCCAGCAGUGGUCUUUGGCACGCAGUGGGAGCUGCAGAGACACAACACACAGAUGGCGAAAGCGGCGGCCGCAGCCCGACAGCUCUCAAAGAGGCAUGCAGGCAUGAACUCAAGAGCGCACGCACAUUUUCGAUCGGCAGCGCAGACGAUUGGCAACCGGGAGCAAGCUCAAAACGCAACCUGGGGGGGGAAUGUGACGGGCCUGGAAGGGUCGCCUCGCCGAGCAUUUCCAGAUACUCGACAAGAGCCAGGUAGCGGUUGACGGCCGUGCUGCAGGCCAUCGAACCCGAGCUGACAGCUCUCACUCACAUAUUCGCCGAAACUGGAGAGCGCAGCCGCGAGGAGAUGUUCGAAGGACAGGCGUCCUUCUCCGGAGGCCUGAAGCGGCGAGAAGGCGAGUGAUCGGGGAUACAGAGAUGGCGGAGCCAUUGCGCUCGGCUUUCAGAGUGCUGUGGCAGAAGCUUGUUGGCGGGGCGACUGCGGCUUAUCCUGUGGCCCCGCAGCCUCGAUACCAGCGGCUCCACGGCAGAGCGUGACGACGGAUUGGAGGGAGAGAGACGCGUAGCUCGACAUGCUUGCUCUUCCAGGUACAGCUGCCGCGCAAACACCUCCACGCUCGAUUUCGAUUCCGGGACGAGGCUGUCUCGUGCCACGAGAUGCGGGUGCCGCGAAUGGGGCUGCGCGUUGAUCCCGAGACUAUGCAGGCACACACACACACUCGUGGCCACCCUUGGAGGCGGUCCCCGCCUACACGUGGGUGUAGAGGCGGCCUCUUCACAGACAACAGUAGUCGCACAGAUCGGCAGCCUGGACAUCGCAGGGAGGGGGAGAGGCAGCGGUGCGACCGUCGGUCACGCUGACGACAGGAGGAGGCGGUGUGCUGGCAAGCCUACUUCUGCGUGGGCACCCUUGAGCGGCGAGCUCGAUAAAGCUCCGCCAAGUCUCUGUGGCGCAGCGAGGGGCGUUCUCCUGGAAAGCUGUGGCUCGCUGCGCACGCUCUGGCGAUUCCAGCUUAUCGGGUGUCGGUGGCUGUUGGAAGCGGCCUGAGGGGUCACGGCAAAGCUGGGCCGAGGUCGCGUCGCCCUCGAGCAUGAAGCGCAGCUGCAGUCCAUCGGCGCUGCAUCCACUGGAAGAAAAAAGACUGGUUUUCGCGCGCGAUCGCCAGCUGCCCACGCCAGGUUGCGGUUACGCAACCGACGAGGCAGACCUUUAGCGCCGACACCGAUUCGUCCUCCGUUGGAUGGGGUGAUUAGCCCAUCCAGCGGGGUGGAAGCUGACCAGUAGUGGUUGGUGGUUGAUGGCAGACGCGACUGAAGCACGUGCAGCCACCCAAGGAUUCGGUUUUUCUUUGAAACGCGAUCCCUCUCAGAUCCUGCGUACACCCUUUCGUGGGCUGCACGUCCGCGCUUUCCGGUUGGCGUAAGGGACACGAACGUAGCUUCGCCAUCGACCAUGAGCGGCGCCAUCGCUCUGAAAGCGAUGGCUUCCUCCAGAGUGUGAACUUCCGACACGCCCCCUCGCGAUACAGCCUAGCAGAUGCCCCGAGUCGGACGUUGUGGCGGGCGUGCGAGUUCUUUUUUUUUUCGAGCUCAUAGUUCCCCAUCCUUUUCUUCGCCGGUGCUCCACGUGUGGAUACGGAAGAACAGAACUUUCACACGCACACACGCGCGAGCACAGGGCUUUGAUAUUCUCUAUUUCUUGCCACCAGGUGUUCCAUAUAUGCAGACAUGUACGUGUCUAUGUGUACAUCGAUAUGGGGCACUGUAUGCGAUACUCCCAGCUCAUGCGGGCGCAGUCCUUUUCUUUGCUGUUUGUUCCUUUUCCUGAUUUAGGUCCCCUUUGGUCAACUCUUUUUUCCUGACCGAGCGAACUCUUCUCCGCCUCACCCCGGGUGAGCCUCCUCCAAUGGCCUGAAACUGGCCACGCGGCUUCUUGUUUGGGCAAUAGCCUACUAGCGACUCGAGGGGCUGGAGGGGAAAGGGCUCGGACCAGGCGAAACCGAGCAGGCUGAAGGAGGUGUAAGGGAUGACUUCUUACACACACACACGCGUCGUACGUGGCCCCAUGCACGGGCCAUGCAGGCACAUAUAUCAUGUAUGGAUAUGCCGCUUCUAAUCCGUGGACAGAAAUGAACGCGCCACGCGCGGGACGCUUCCGCCCUCGCAUUCACCCGCGUCGAUUCCUGCUUCUCAGGACAGAUGUGGUAAAGGAAUUUUCCAGCGUGGCUUCGACGCAUGCCAUCGCAUCGCGCGUUUGUGGCACUUGAAUUCGUCUAGUGGGUAACUUCUGCAACCCCACGUU
rnacentral:misc_RNA from 1 species